GGCUUCCGUUGCACCUCUCUAGAAAGGCUCCUCUAUUUAGCCCAUCUGAGUCCAGAUUGAAGGUUCAACAUGCUUAAAGAAGGAAUGCAACUCACCUCAAUGAAGUUAAUUGACCUGAGGCAGAGAAAGAAUACAAGUUUCCACUCAGUCCAAAGAGCAAGACAUAUGACUCACUUGUGUUAACAAUAAUAACACAAUAUUGUUAUUGUGUUACAAUAACACAAUAAUAAGGGAUCCACACACUCUCCACCCUUUCACAUGUAAUGAUUUUUAUGUAUGAAGGACAUGUGAUGAUAGGGGAUAUUAAAUGACUGUACUUGAUAGGGGAUAUUAAAUGACUGUGCUUGAACUCAUGUUGGAUUACAUCAGAUUGCUUCUAUGGACACCUGCAUUGAAAAAAAAAUCCAGAUUCCGAAGGUCAAUAGGAUCAUUUUCAGAGGUCGUUUGUCUUGCCAUCAUUUAGCCAAUACAGCAACAGACAUGAGUUGUGUGAAAUGGUGAUCAGAUGAUGAUAAAUUAAUUUAAUUUUAAUUAAGUCGCUUAGUGAGUUAGCCAUGUGAUAAGUCGAUGGCAAAUGGAAACCUGAAUUAUACUCCUCUUUGAACACUUCCCCAUCUACUACAGCCAGAAAUAUUUUCUACCACUCCGCAAUCCUACUUUUCAGUAUCGGCAUCUCUCAUUUUGUAUUUAUUAUUAAUGUUUCAUAUGAUUAUGAAUUUUUUAAAUAUUCAAACUGGACAGAGACUUAUACAAAAUAAAGUUUCAAUAAAUGUUUGUAGAAAAUAUUAGGUGCUGAGAGUAUGACAUCAGAGGCAGAUUUAUGGAAAUUACACUAGUAGGCUAAAUGCCUAAGUUAUCAUUAGCGUGCCUUCAAAGAUCCGUUGCCAUGAACUAUCUCCCUUAUCAACUUCUUUUUAUUGAGAUGGAGUAUUACUCUGUCUCCCAGGCUGGAGUGUAGUGUUAAUAAUCCAGGCGCACUGCAACCUCCGCCUCCUGGGUUCCAGCAAUUCUCAUGCCUCAGCCUCCUGAGUAGCUGGGAUUAUGGGAGUGCACCAGCACACCAGGCUAAUUUUUGUAAUUUUAGUAGAAAUGGGGUUUCACCACAUUGACUAGGCUGAUCUUGAACUUCUGGCCUCAAGUGAUCCACCCACCUCAGCCUCCCAAAGUGCUGGGAUUAUAGGCAUGAGCCACCACGCCCAGCCUCCUCUAUCAACUUCUAAGAUCUUUAAAACUCCAUUAGAGAAUCAUCUCUCUGAGUAAGUCACUGCCCCCUAUUAAAAUAAAUCUACCAUAAUAGCACAAGAAAUGUUUUUAAAUGAAUGACAAAAUUAAGAGGAGAGAAGACAACUGAGUAAGAUAAAGGGAAAGAAGAAAAUGAAGUGGCAACUCUUGGAAUUCCAGCUUCAUGACUUACUAGCUGUGUGGCUUUGAAGAAAUACUCCACUGCUCAAAAGACUUGAUUUCUGUGUCAUUUGAAGAAAUACUCCACUGCUCAAAAACCUUGAUUUCUGUGUCAUUCAAAUAAAGACAAAAACAGCAUAUUCCUAGGGUUUUUGUAAGAAGAAAAUAAGAAACAAUGUUAAGGUCAAAAUCAUGGAGCUCUUGCCAAGCCAUCAGACUUGAUAUUCACUGGAAUAUCUUAAGGAAGGACAACUAAUGAAAACAGCUAACAAUUCUG
rnacentral:lncRNA from 1 species